rnacentral:lncRNA from 1 species
GCUGCUUCAUAUAGUAAAACGGACCAUGUCUUAGUUCUGACUGUUCUUUAUUAUUACUGUUUAAUAGACCAGGUUUCUUUUUCUUUUUUAUGGGACUUGUAGAUGCAUCUUGGGGUGAGUGGCCAUUAGAGGAAUGUGGAGGGCUGGGAAACUUCCUUUUUUGUGCUGUGCGUUCGGCAGAGCCAGGAUCUUUGGAUCGAGUGGAGAUAUCCAUCCCCUCCACCACCUCCUGCUCUGCCUUUAUUUCCUCUUCAGCCAAACUCUGUGGAUGCAUUGUUAACACAGUGUUAUGUCAAUACUUAUAAAACAUGGAGGACAGGCUCUCAGUACUCAGACAGAAAGGGCUUGGCACUUCAGCUUGAUGAUCUGUCUUCCUAAUAAAAGCUAAUCCAGGAUUGGCUACUUUCGUAAAUCUGAAUGUAAAGCUUCAGGGGAUUGGCUGAAACACUUCCUGAGCGAUUAUCUUUGUGCAGCUCUGGCAAGCAGGAGCCAUCCUGUGCACAGAGAAGACAGGCUAAGCUAGGCCCGUUUCAGCAAAAAAACUCGAAAAGAACUCCCAAAAGCCGACUUCCCGUAUGAAAUAGGUAGAUUUUCAAGCAGAGGAAAGCGAUCACAAACUGCCUGACUGAGCAAACGUGUCUCAACGCGUCCCUGCUGAAGGCAUUUGGCUAUUUUAAACCUGAAGGAGGGCGAGUUCACCCAGGUCACAAAAACGAUUCUUUACAAACAAAAAGCUAAAUUCACUUUUCUGGUGUUCUCCACUGUGUUUCACACAGUGAAAGCAAGGCUACAGAAAGGGAACAAAAUAAACUGAAAGUGCAUAUGCAUGGGAGAGGUGGACAUUAAAGACUGAAAAUUCAGACAGAAUCCUCCAAAUCCAGAAUGCACGUACGUACAUUAACACUGACCACAGCAACCAUACACUGACAGUGGGAUUUAUUCUUUUUUUCCAGACAACAUGAGCCAAAACCUACAUGGGAAAAGCCUGAUGGCUGAUUUCUGGAGCAAGUAAUACACAGCUGAAAUUACAUUAUCAAAGAGGGCUGUUGGCAUUCAGUGCACACCCUCCCUGACUAUAAAAAUGCUGCAGAGAACGACCCAAAAUAUGGGGAUGGCAGCGAUGCACACCCGCGGCCCGGGCCCCCCCAGCCUCCACCACGCGGCCUGCAGGGCUGCCCUGCUGCCGGCUGCCGUGCUACCGGCCGCAGCCGCCGCUUCCUGGCCAUUAACCCUGUCGCACUUGGUGCUUUUUAAGGCACGAGGCAGGCCCUGAAAAGCAGCAGAACCUCCACGUGGCAAAUUCUCGCUUUCACAAAAAGGAAUUAAUGCAGCCUGUUGGAUUUGUUUUUGCUUUGCCUUUUAUCUCGUGCGAAACAAAACGAGAAAAGAGCAUGUAAGCGGCCCAUGUGGCCAAUGCCCAAACAUUGCAUUCAAAAAUGCUUUAAGUCCUUUCCCUAAAAUUCUGCAGUUUGGCUCCCUUUCCUAAUACAGCAAAAGUGGGAGGAUUUAUCACUGUGCCAGCGAGGAAGGAAGUGUCAAAUGCAGAUUAGUAUUUCAAAGGUCAUCUCUUUAGAAGUGCUGCAGCAAGGCUUCGUGUUUUUGUUCAGGAUUGUGUGUCCGUAUUGGUAGCUAGGCUUUAACAUUCUGUUGCCAUCGACAAAUUACAAAGGAAAUCAUAGCUGAGAAGGUGAUUCUGAAGCAUAUUGCAUAUUAUCAGAAGGUUACGUCUGCAAAAACAAAAACUAAGGGAGUUGCAGAGGGGCAAAUUCAGUAUUAAAACAGUAAUUCUCAAAUACUGAGCUAAAACAACCAAAGCAAAAUAAAGGUUCUUCCAACACAAGAUUCAAGAUUGUGCAAAAAUUAUAGAAAACCCUCUGCCAUUAAUCGAGGCUAACUGCAAACAGAACGUGCACUUCACGAACUUAACCCCCGUGCUGAUUACCCCAGAAACAAUCGCCAUGAAUAAAGGUAACUUCCCUUCCC